UUUAGAUAAAACCAAAGAGAAUAAAUAGAUAAGAGACAAAAUAUAUAUAUACAGUUUAUAAUGUUUUCUAUUAUAAUUCAAAUUAAUAUAUUAAUCUUACUAAUUCUAAGGCCUUAAAUUUGAAUGUGUUUCGAGGAAGUAAAAAAAAAAUCUAAUAUGGUGGAAAUCCUAUUGGCCAAAACAAGAGUCCUUGAAAAAAAAGUAUUGUUUCCACAGUUGGUGUUGUAAUGAGGAAUUUCAAAUAGGUCUAAGUUCCUAGUGUUUUUGCGUGGUAUACGGAAACCAAUUUCCGAUAAUAAAUCAGGACAGUCGAUAAGGUUGUUUAAGACAUCAUAAACUAACACAAUAUCAGCCACUUUACGACUUAUACAUAGUGGUUCUAGGUUCAAGAAGUUUCAACAUAAACGGUAUCUCUAGUAAUAUGCAAAUUAGACAUAAACAAUUCUUUUCAAAAACUUGUACUGGACAUUAUUGAGAUCAUUUAUAUAUCUUGAAAAGUUAUAAGACCAAAUAAGUGAACCGAAUUCGAAGUUAGAUCAUACAAAAGACAUAUAUGGU